rnacentral:rRNA from 1 species
GACGAACGCUGGCGGCGUGCUUAACACAUGCAAGUCGAACGGAAAGGCCCUGCUUGCAGGGUACUCGAGUGGCGAACGGGUGAGUAACACGUGGGUGAUCUGCCCUGCACUUCGGGAUAAGCCUGGGAAACUGGGUCUAAUACCGGAUAGGAGCCAUUUUUAGUGUGAUGGUUGGAAAGUUUUUUCGGUGUAGGAAGAGCUCGCGGCCUAUCAGCUUGUUGGUGGGGUAAUGGCCUACCAAGGCGGCGACGGGUAGCCGGCCUGAGAGGGUGGACGGCCACAUUGGGACUGAGAUACGGCCCAGACUCCUACGGGAGGCAGCAGUGGGGAAUAUUGCACAAUGGGCGCAAGCCUGAUGCAGCGACGCCGCGGGGGGGAUGACGGCCUUCGGGUUGUAAACUCCUUUCGCUAGGGACGAAGCUUUUUGUGACGGUACCUAGAUAAGAAGCACCGGCUAACUACGUG